rnacentral:lncRNA from 1 species
AUGCCUAUGCUUUUUAGUCAGUAGAAGUUCGAUCACUAAAUCAUCUUUUUGAAAAGAAAAAAAAAGGUGAUUGAUAGAGAGAAUAUAUGCACGAAGAUUGGUGUCUUUUAAGGGUCGUUUAGUUGGUCGUAUACGAAUAAUGUUGAAUAUAGUGUAUUAGUAAUGCUGAGAUUAUUUUUUAGGUACUGUUUGAUUUUUUAUAUAAAAAUUAACAUGAAUUAUAUAUUUCUAAACAGUGUUAUUUGUCAGAUAAAAAAGUACACAUUUGGAGGAAAAUUGUGUAAAACCCUUGCAUUGUAUUGGUUAAGAAAUUGUACCAAACAAUGUAUUUGUUAUAUACAAGUUACUUCGUGCAUUAUUUUUUUUACUACCUCUUAUCAAACGGCCCCAAAAUGGAUGAAGAGAUUAAGGGAAAAUCUAUAAGAAGAAAUAUUUAUCACAAGGACAAAUCAUUCAAUACCCUAGCUCUUUCCUCUUAUUUUUCUUUUUUAAAUUCAUUUAAAAAACUAAACAAAAUUC